rnacentral:rRNA from 1 species
GACGAACGCUGGCGGCGUGCUUAACACAUGCAAGUCGAGCGACGCUCUUCCUUCGGGGAGAUGACGGAGCGGCGAACGGGUGAGUAACACGUGGGCAACCUGCCCCUAGCUCUGGGACACCACCGGGAAACCGGUGCUAAUACCGGAUACGACAUCGAGCGGCAUCUCUCGAUGUUGAAAGUUUUUUCGGCGAGGGAUGGGCCCGCGGCCUAUCAGCUUGUUGGUGGGGUAAUGGCCCACCAAGGCGACGACGGGUAGCAGGCCUGAGAGGGCGACCGGCCACACGGGGACUGAGACACGGCCCAGACUCCUACGGGAGGCAGCAGUGGGGAAUAUUGCGCAAUGGGCGAAAGCCUGACGCAGCGACGCAGCGUGAGGGAGGACGGCCUUCGGGUUGUAAACCUCUUUCAGCAGGGACGAAUUCAGACGGUACCUGCAGAAGAAGCACCGGCCAACUACGUG